CAUAUAAACAAACUUUGAAAGGGUCCUUUAUAAAGAAAAGAGAAUGUAAUUUUAAGGACACUUAGGUUUGCCCUUGGAGUUCUUGAGGUCCCUGUAGCAAGGGCACUCGUCCUUGUGCCCGUAAGUCCCAGAUGGAACACAAUGGCACUUGUCACAGCAAAUUCCACAGUACUUCAGGCACCUGUCUUCCCUUCCUGCUUUUGAGCACCUCACCGCACACUUUGAGUCGCAGAAAUCUGUCCCAAUAUUACAUGUGCAAUACGUAAUAAAAACAAAUGAAAGAUAUUACAAUAUCUUAAAUAAGUUAAGUAGGCUCACCUGAACCAG
rnacentral:lncRNA from 1 species